UGGCCCCCCAGUCGCCCCCCAGCCACCCUCAGCAGCCCCCCCUCCGCCUGGACCUCGUGGACACAGCCGUGGUCGCCCGGCAUCGCCCCCGGGGACCCGAAAGCCCCCCCAGCAACCGCUACGCCGGCGACUGGAGCAUCGAGCUGGGGAGAUACGAGGAGGUGACGAGCGGCGACAGUCGUGUCGCGAAUCGCCGGACCCUUAUCGUGACCGAUUUUGGUCUCGGCGACGAAAGCGAUUCGUCGUUCGCUCCGAUGCUUAACCUCAAAGACUUCGAUGCUCUCAUCCUCGACCUCGAGAGGGAGUUGGCCAAACAGAUCAACGUCUGUCUGUGAUGCCGGUACCGAGCAAAACGACACCGGUACCGAGCCAACGACACCGGCACCGAGCAAACGACACCAGCACCGAGCAAAUGGCACCGGUACCAACAACACCGGCACCGAGCAAAUGACACCGGCACUGAGCAAACGACAGCAGCACCGAGCAAACGACACCGGCACCGAGCAAACGACACCGGUACUGACAACACUGGUACCAACAACACCGGCACCGAGCAAACGACACCGGUACCGAGCAAACGACACCGGCACCGAGCAAACGACACCGGCACCGAGCAAACGACACCGGUACUGACAACACCGGUACCGAGCAAAACGACACCGGCACCGACAACACCGGUACCAACAACACCGGCACCGAGCAACAACAACACUGGCACUGAGCAAAUGACACCGGUACCGAGCAAACGACACCGGUACCAACAACACUGGCACCGAGCAAACGGCACCGGUACCAACAACACCGGCACCGAGCAAACGGCACCGGUACCAACAACACCGGCACCGAGCAAACAACACCGGCACUGUGCAAACGACAGCGGCACCGAGCAAACGACACCGGCACUGAGCAAACGACACCGGCACCAACAACACCGGCACCGUGCAAACAACACCGGUACUGAGCAAACGGCACCGGCAUCGAGCAAACGACACCAGUACCAACAACACCGGCACCGAGCAAACAACACCGGUACCGACAACACCGGCACCGAGUAAAUGAUACCGGCACCGAGCAAACGACAUCGGCACCGAGCAAAUGACACCGGUACCGACAACACCGGUACCGAGCAAACGACACCGGCACCGAGCAAAUGACACCGGCACUGACAACACCGGUACCGAGCAAACGACACCGGCACUGAGCAAACGACACCAGCACCAAGCAAACAACAUCGGCACCAAUCAAACGACACCAGCACCAACAACACCGGUAACGAGCAAAACGACACCGGCACUGAGAAAAUGACACCGGCACCGUGCAAACAACACCGGUACCGACAACACCGGUACCAAGCAAAUGACACCGGCACUGAGCAAACGACACUGGCACCGAGCAAAACAACACCGGCACCGAGCAAACGACACCGGAUCAGGAAAAAAAACCCAAAAAAAACCCGACACCGGCACCGUCGAGUGAGCGACCAAAAAAAACCCCAAAAAUCGGCACUCGCCUUCGUUUGCCUUGGGUUUGCACAGCGACAGACGGAAGGGAAGCCGGCAGCAGGAGGUGAUGGAGCCUUUGUGGGACCCCAGACCCACCGGGUUGGACCCCCCACCCAACCCCCGUU
rnacentral:lncRNA from 1 species